CAGACGUCCAGCUCUGAGCCUCAGGCUGACAUAAAGUCUGAAGACGCAGGCCUGGCUGUGGAGCUCAGGAAGCAGAAUCUGGGGGCGUCUCUACCAUGGACUGGGCUGCACUUCUCCUCACUGUCCUGGCUCACUGCACAGGGUCUUGGGCCCAGUUUGUGCUGACUCAGCCUGGCUCUGUGUCUGGGUCUCUGGGACAGAAGGCCACCAUCUCCUGCACCCGUAGCAGUGGUAACAUUGGGAGCAGCUAUGUGCAGUGGUACCAACAGCGCCCAGGCAGGGGCCCCACCACUGUGAUCUAUGCUGAUGACACAAGACCCUCUGGGGUUCCAGAUCGGUUCUCUGGCUCCAUAGACAGUUCCUCCAACACUGCCUCCCUGACCAUCUCCAGGCUGCAGCCUGAAGACGAGGCCGACUACUACUGUCAGUCUUACUAUGGUAGUGGUGGUAGCUACAAUCACACAGUGCUGCAGACUCAGGGGGAAGUGAGACCAAAACCCCAGAGCUUCCCCUUCUGGGUCUGCACUCAGUCUGUCCCCACCAAGCAAGUGCCCUCUUCUGUCUCCUUCUGGAAAUUUUGUGUAGAGAUUGGAGGUUUCUGA